CCCUCAUGCCCUCCUCCCCCUCUCCUCCUGGUGCAGACAGGGCUGUUCCUCUUCCUGUUGGCGGCUGCAAGCAGCGUUGUACCCUCCCUUCCCCAGGCUGAAGCCGGCUGUCUGUCACAGGACAGCCGGCCUCCCCUCACACCGCGGCCCUUGGACAACGCCUGGCACCCGCAUCUGACAAGUGUCCAGAACAGCUGCAUACCCCAGGGGGCUUUGUGUUCAGAGAGGAGAUAUAACUUCUGGUAACAUCACCUGAUGUCCCUUUUUUCCUUCAGCUCUCCUCCCUGCUGCUCGACCCAACUGCGUGUCUCACUUCAAAAUUAUGACUUGAGAUCUGGAUCCUGUUCCCAGCUUUGGUGUUGCAAUUUCCUGUUCCACCCAUUCCUUCCAAUAUGCAGGGCUAUUGGAAAAACACUUCAGACAGAAAUAUUUUAUCUUGCAUCUGGCUCAGCUGCACAAAGAUUCACAAGAGUAACAGGACUUUUGCAUAAUGAAAUGGAUGGGGAAAGCCAGGUGCCGGGAAGAAGGAUGCGAAGAUCUGAAGGUGAAUAUUCUGCUGGUGGUGACACUGAACUUAAAGCAAGGAGACUGGCUAAUGGAAAUGAUUAUGGAAGUGGAAGUGACAGCUGCUGAAGUGGAAGGGAAAACUGAAGAUUUAAAGUGCCGAAAAUAUUGUGCAGAAAGAUGGAGAAUUUCUGGGAGGAAUUUUGAAUCCUGGGCUGUGAUCUGAGCUGCUUUUGUUAAUGAAGAAAAUUUAUUAGGAUUUAAGAAUGCUGCACAGCACGGAAAAAGAAAUUCCAGGCAGUGAUACAGCUGGACUGUAACAGAAAUAAAAAUGGAACAUAUUUAAUGCAGAAGAAGAGAAGAGAAGAGAAGAGAAGAGAAGAGAAGAGAAGAGAAGAGAAGAGAAGAGAAGAGAGGGAUCUCAGCGAUGUGUGAAGUGAUGGUGACCCUACCAGUGAAGAGUCCUUGAACUCACAUUCCAUCUAUUGUGCUUUUUCAGGAGAAGCUUCAUUCAAUAUUAAACAGGAGUGCCAUUUUCAGAGAGAAAACUAAGUUGAAGAGUAAAGCCUCCACUAUUUAUGCUAAAGGGACGGACAGUCACAUCUAAUGAAUUAGUUACAUAACCUGUGUCACAGACUUAUUUUCUGGUGACUCCUUUCAGUGGCGAUCUGUAUGAAUCCUUCUUUGUUUUCUGGCUCAAAACUUGCUUCCUGAAGUAUUUCUUGUGAUAAGACUCUAGGAGAUGAGAGGUGGGUGCUGCCGUGUGGCAAUCAGCAUCACUGUCUGGACAAUUUACAUUUCAGAGCAUUUCUUUGGAGCUGUUAGCCUUUGACCCAAGAGUUAAUGGAGUGCUCAGGACUGUUUACUGGACUGUUUACUGGACAUUUUACUGGCAGAAGAUCUGUCCUGUGACAAGUACUCCUGUCUGCUAUGGGAGACUGGGAGAUGAUACCAUCGUAUCUUGUGAAGACAAGACUAGUUGGCUUCUCCAUACUAGUUGGCUUCUCCAUACUCCCUCUUAUUUGCUGGCAAGGCCAGGAAGAUAGGAACAAAAGGAAUUCCUGCUGAGAUCCAAAAGCCAGAAACUGUCAUUCCAAAAGGCUGACUCAACCACUUUGGACUGCUUCACGGCCUCAUAGCCUGGGUUGUGCACAUAGCUUACAAAUCCUUGCUCCCUGAACCACUCUCCUACAGUCUAUGAAGAUGGUGAAGGAUCUGGAGGGCAAGGCACAAGAGGAGCAGCUGAGAUCCCUGGGUUUGCUCAGCCCAGAGCAGAGGAACUGAGGGGAGGCCUCAUGGCAACUGCAGCUCCUCACAGAAAGUGGAGGGGCAGCGCUGAGCUCUGCUCUCUGUGGCCGCAACAGGGCCCGAGGGAACGGCAUGGAGCUGUGUCAGGUUUGCAGCACUGAAGAAGAGGUUCUGUUGUUUCACUCUUUCUCACACUCAUCUGUGUAUAAAAACCAAUGCAUUUUCCACAAAAUUUUCUUCAAAACAGAUGUAUUUGGGUCCCUUCAUUAAGUUAAUAUUUUCCUAAUUUCUCUCAUGUGCUGGAAAGGAAUACUUAGCUUUUAAUUAAAUUUUAAUUAAAAUUAAGAAUUACUGUUUUUCUAACAUUUAUUUCUUUAUGUUAUGAGAUCUGUAAAGAUGAGCUAGAAAGAAGCUGGCAUGCAGAGUAUUUAUCUAUUUGUUGAAGCUAUCUUGCC
ensembl:lncRNA